rnacentral:rRNA from 1 species
GACGAACGCUGGCGGCGUGCUUAACACAUGCAAGUCGAACGGAAAGGCCCUGCUUGCAGGGUACUCGAGUGGCGAACGGGUGAGUAACACGUGGGUGAUCUGCCCUGCACUUCGGGAUAAGCCUGGGAAACUGGGUCUAAUACCGGAUAGGAGCCAUUUUUAGUGUGAUGGUUGGAAAGUUUUUUCGGUGUAGGAUGAGCUCGCGGCCUAUCAGCUUGUUGGUGGGGUAAUGGCCUACCAAGGCGGCGACGGGUAGCCGGCCUGAGAGGGUGGACGGCCACAUUGGGACUGAACCACGGCCCAGACUCCUACGGGGGGCAGCGGUGGGGAAUUUUGCACAAUGGGCGGAAGCCUGAUGCCGCGCCGCCGGGGGGGGGAUGACGGCCUUCGGUUUGUAACCUCUUUUCCCCGGGGACGAAGCUUGUGGUGACGCCACUGAUAAAAAAGCCCCCGCCAACCUCCGC